UAGCCUUGACAUUGAUUGAAUACUUUAGAGAUAGAGUAGUGCCCUUCGGGGAGCAUGAAAACAGGUGCUGCACGGCUGUCGUCAGCUCGUGUCGUGAGAUGUUGGGUUAAGUCCCGCAACGAGCGCAACCCUCGUCCUUAGUUGCCAGCAGGUUAAGCUGGGCACUCUAAGGAGACUGCCUUCGCAAGGAGGAGGAAGGUGAGGACGACGUCAAGUCAUCAUGGCCCUUAUGGCUAGGGCUACACACGUGCUACAAUGGGGCGUACAGAGAGUUGCGAUACCGCGAGGUGGAGCCAAUCUCAUAAAGCGUCUCUCAGUUCGGAUUGUUCUCUGCAACUCGAGAGCAUGAAGC
rnacentral:rRNA from 1 species